rnacentral:hammerhead_ribozyme from 1 species
AUCCGGCUGACGAGUCCCGAAUAGGACGAAAUGUGCAUACUGUAU